ensembl:lincRNA 4930432B10Rik RIKEN cDNA 4930432B10 gene
GUCCUGUGCCGGUCAGGCCGAGCGCAGAGAACCCACGGGGCAGCCUCUCCCUUGGUGCUCCCUGCCGGGUCCGCCUUUCGCGCCUUUGCUUUUUGUUUGUUUUUGGAAGGACUCUCCGAGCCCCUGUGGCACUGUGGAGGACGCAGGCCCAGGAGCGCGACCCGUCCUCCUAGCGCGCACUCGCAGGAAAUAGGUCAGCCCCCGUUGUCGGUGGUAACUGCCACCACCUCACGUGCCCGAGCCCUGUGACUCGGUGACCGCUCUGCUCUGUGACCCGUUUCCCCUUGAGGUAGGCGCUUUUCGGUCAGCCCAGAGCGUGAGACCCAAAGGGGCCAGAUUAAGGUGGAGAGAAGGUCCACAAGAAGUCACCCAGUACUGACUCCUUCCUGUUCAAAAUAGCUUCCAGGAGAGUGGAAUUAGCAUCAAAAUACAAUCAGCCCCAGGGCUACCUGCAACAGAAGUCCAUUUUUAAAACAUACAAUCCCUUUGCUUGCCCAUGUUUUGUGGGUCAGUUUUGAGAAUUCAUACAUUCUGGAUAAAGAAUUACAGGGAUGGAAAUGGAGAGGAGCCUGAAGAAAAGAAGGUCCAGGGACAGGCCCAAAGUGGGAUCCAGCUCAAAGGGAGGUCCCAAGGCCUGACACUAAUACUGAGGCUAUGGAGUGCUCACAAAAAGGGAUCUUGCCUUCCAAAAGACACAACAAACAACUAAAAGAGUCAGAUGCAGAUAUUUGCAUCCAUCCAAUGGACAGAAGCAGCUGACCCCUGUUGUUGAAUUAGGGAAGGCUGAACGAAGCUCACUAAGUUCCGACUGCCGGGUCGCUAUCACGCCAGCCCCACACUUCCAAAUUUCCACGGCUUUUGGGGUGUACGUCUUGCAAACCCACGCUUUGCCUCUACCUUUCUCCUUGGAACCCAGUUGAGUUGACACAUGAAAGAAAACACCAUACAAACUUAAUUCAGAACCAGCAGGUAACUCGGUUGUUGGGCACAGCAACUAGCAUCCCAAUUUGUAUGCUAUACUAAACUCCUCUGGUGGGGAAUCCUGGGGAUCCGCCAUCUAAACUGAGGGCCUCUUGUUAGCUAUGUUAGCUACAUACUGUCCUCCAAGUGCUCCUCGUCCAAAAGCCCCUCCUCUUCCCCUCUCUGACCUGGAAGUCCUGCCUACUCCUCGCCCAGUGAUUGGUUCCUAGAUACCUUGAUUUAUUAGGGGAAGGUUCACAGGAAGUCAUCUGAGUAUGUAAUUCACUCCUCCUCCCGGGAAGCCCCUCUUGGGGAAGCAGAAUUAGCAUCAAAAUACAAACAGCCCCGGAGCUAUGCACAACACUUCCCCCUUUCUGUCCAAUUAAAAGGCUCCUUUAUCUCAGAUAUAAAUUGAGCAUAACUUUACCAUUCUGUAAUUUAUAAAGUACAAAAUACGCCUAGUCCAUCAUUUUUGUCAAUUGAAUAGAACAUUCUGUUAUCUAUCCUAACAUAAAAAAGGCUUAUAAAUUCAUCUUAUAUCCUGGUUUAGCUUGUAUACUAUCUGAAAACUAUCUUCUCAACUAUAUUUUCUCAAUGUUAAAUAACAUAUGUUGGCUAAGAGACUAUAACUAGUCUUUCAACCCUGUCAGAAAUCCAAGAACAACCAAUAUUGUCUGAAAAUAUAGGAAGCCUAACACAGCUUCCAGAACUGAGACAAAUUAUAGAGACAGCUGCCUACCUAUACAGCUCCAGUAUGUCAGGAAGUUGGAGCAUCAGCCUUCAGUCUUCUCGGGAUAUUCUGAGAGACCCUGAAAACCAGAAAUUAUUAAGAACUAGCUUAUUCUGUCUCAGCAGAACUAAGCUGUCCUAACCUGUAACUCGUGUCCUCUCACAGAAGAUACAGGAGAGAUAGGCAAUUUCUACCCAAUGGCCACCUAACCACAAUGCACAGCCUCACCUGGAGGUAGAGAUGCUCAGCUGCUUUUUUGAAUCCACAAAUGGGGAGCUGUUACGAGAAGAUAUGUCUCAACAACAAGUGAAUAAAUGCCACAUACUGUGGAUUUCUGACUGUUGUCCAUUAACCACUUUCAGCUAUUUCUAAUUAAAUUAUCUUGAAAACGCCCU